UGGGCUAUCGCCAAGCGGUAAGGCACAGGGUUUUGAUCCCUGUAUUCGCUGGUUCGAAUCCAGCUAGCCCAG
rnacentral:tRNA from 1 species